rnacentral:tRNA from 1 species
AGGAGGCUAAUUUAAUUAAAAUACUUGAUUUCGGCUUAAGAACUCGUGGUUAAAACCCACUGCCCCCUU